CAGCUUGUGGUCUAGCGGUAUGACAUCUUCUUAGCAUUGCCGUCGUCUCGACAGUGACCCUAAGAUGGAGAAGGUUCCCGGUUCGACUCCGGGCUAGUCCA